rnacentral:misc_RNA from 1 species
GGAUGAAGAACGCAGCAAAAUGCGAUAAGUAAUGUGAAUUGCAGAAUUCAGUGAAUCAUCGAAUCUUUGAACGCACAUUGCGCCCGCCAGUAUUCUGGCGGGCAUGCCUGUUCGAGCGUCAUUUCAACCCUCAAGCACAGCUUGGUGUUGGGACUCGCGUUAAUUCGCGUUCCCCAAAUUGAUUGGCGGUCACGUCGAGCUUCCAUAGCGUAGUAGUAAAACCCUCGUUACUGGUAAUCGUCGCGGCCACGCCGUUAAACCCCAACUUCUGAAUGUUGACCUCGGAUCAGGUAGGAAUACCCGCUGAACUUAAGCAUAUCAAUAAGCGGAGGA